rnacentral:tRNA from 2 species
GACCCGCUAGCUCAGCAGGCAGAGCACCUGCCUUUUAAGCAGGGUGUCCGGAGUUCGAAUCUCCGGCGGGUCACCA